rnacentral:rRNA from 1 species
AUUGAACGCUGGCGGCAGGCCUAACACAUGCAAGUCGAGCGGAUGAAGGGAGCUUGCUCCUGGAUUCAGCGGCGGACGGGUGAGUAAUGCCUAGGAAUCUGCCUGGUAGUGGGGGAUAACGUCCGGAAACGGGCGCUAAUACCGCAUACGUCCUGAGGGAGAAAGUGGGGGAUCUUCGGACCUCACGCUAUCAGAUGAGCCUAGGUCGGAUUAGCUAGUUGGUGGGGUAAAGGUCUACCAAGGCGACGAUCCGUAACUGGUCUGAGAGGAUGAUCAGUCACACUGGAACUGAGACACGGUCCAGACUCCUACGGGAGGCAGCAGUGGGGAAUAUUGGACAAUGGGCGAAAGCCUGAUCCAGCCAUGCCGCGUGUGUGAAGAAGGUCUUCGGAUUGUAAAGCACUUUAAGUUGGGAGGAAGGGCAGUAAGUUAAUACCUUGCUGUUUUGACGUUACCAACAGAAUAAGCACCGGCUAACCUCGUG